UCCUGCAGCGAGGCCGACUCGUAGUCGCGCUGGCUCAGCAUGUCCUCCUUCCCUACUCAGAGAAAGGACCGGCUCGGGUCACCCAGCGGCGGCCACGGCGGGAGAGGGGGUUCGAGCGAGGCUGCGUGACCUUGGAGAUUCCUCAUCUGUGAAAUGCAGAUUCAUCAGAGCAGACCUACAGAAGGCCAGAGCUGGGAGACAGUUAGGGGUUGAAGUUCACAGAUGAAGAAACCGUGGCACAAAGAGGAGAAGUGACUUGGUCGCACAGCAAGUCAGGGUAGGACUAGAAAACAGGUCCCCACCCCCACCCCACCUCCCUAGUUCCUGGCAGAACAAGUGCUCCUGACCUGUGCAUUUUGCCAGGACCCCCCUCCCCCACAUACCAGUUUUCACCCCAGGACAGACCCAAGCCCCAUGAGGUGUACCUACCCCGGGUCCAGGUUUCGUGCAAGGAGGCCUUCUGCUGGAAUUUCUCAGCCAGGUGCUGGAGCCGCUGCAGGCGACGGAUCUCCGAGAGCAGCCAGUCCUCGUAGCCUUUCUCCACC